ACAUGCCCCCUCAAUUAAAUUCCGUCUAAAAAAUACGUGAAAAAGGAAAAAGAAAAAGAAGGAACAGGAGAACAGGGGAGCGUAUCCAUCUUCUAGGUCAUAUCUCCCUGACCGCCGGUGCAGGCCAGUCCCCACGAGCAGCUGCGGCGAUUCUCCCCGUGCGACCAGAUUACAGUGCAGAGACCAAACCCCUGCCCUCGCGAUUCCAUUGCCAGUGAUUGGCCUCGAUCGUGAUGACCCCUCCUCGACCAGACUCCGAUAUACACCAACCAGCCCUACAAGCCCAUCUCCCCAAGAAGCCACGGUGACCAUCUCCAUGCGUGACCAGACUCCGGUUCAGGGGAGGAAGUUAUAUACAAUUGGAGCAAAACUUCUGUGGAACGUUACAUUUAUCAAUCGGCAAUAGUUGCAGCCUCAGAGGAUCUGAUUUUGUUCUGAUUUUGUUACUGAGGUUGAGUCGUUCAUUUUAUACAAAGUAACAGAUAUGGAGCUUCCAUAUGUAAUUUAUCCGAAACUUUAACAGAUCAUGACAUUAUGCAAAUUCCAUCCAUAAUAGACAAUCUUUUAGACUUUAGUUCUCUCUCUCUCUUUUCGUGAUGACAAAUUGAUAGAGAAAAGGCUUACAAGAUAGUGCUGAAUGUUCUUGGAAAUUUUUGUGAUUGCAAUACAUUGAAUACAUGUUUUAUGGCCUUUUUGUUGUUGGAUGGA